AGCAUAUCAAUAAGCGGAGGAAAAGAAACCAACAGGGAUUGCCCUAGUAACGGCGAGUGAAGCGGCAACAGCUCAAAUUUGAAAUCUGGCCUCGGCCCGAGUUGUAAUUUGCAGAGGAUGCUUCUGGCGCGGUGCCUUCCGAGUUCCCUGGAACGGGACGCCACAGAGGGUGAGAGCCCCGUAUGGUCGGACACCAAGCCUGUGUGAAGCUCCUUCGACGAGUCGAGUAGUUUGGGAAUGCUGCUCUAAAUGGGAGGUAAAUCUCUUCUAAAGCUAAAUACCGGCCAGAGACCGAUAGCGCACAAGUAGAGUGAUCGAAAGAUGAAAAGCACCUUGAAAAGGGGGUUAAAUAGUACGUGAAAUUGUUGAAAGGGAAGCACUUAUGACCAGACUUGGGCCGGGCGGCUCAUCAGGGGUUCUCCCCUGUGCACUCCGCCCGGCACAGGCCAGCAUCGGUUCUCGUGGGGGGAUAAGACCGACAGGAACGUAGCACCCUCCGGGGUGUGUUAUAGCCUGGCGGACGAUACCCCCGUGGGGACCGAGGUCCGCGCUCCGCAAGGAUGCUGGCGUAAUGGUCAUCAGUGACCCGUCUUGAAACACGGACCAAGGAGUCGUCCAUUAGAGCGAGCGUUUGGGUGUAAAACCCGCACGCGUAAUGAAAGUGAACGCAGGUGAGAGCUUCGGCGCAUCAUCGACCGAUCCUGAUGUUCUCGGAAGGAUUUGAGUAAGAGUUUUAACGGACGGACCCGAAAGACAGUGAACUAUGCUUGAAUAGGGUGAAGCCAGAGGAAACUCUGGUGGAGGCUCGCAGCGGUUCUGACGUGCAAAUCGAUCGUCAAAUUUGAGCAUGGGGGCGAAAGACUAAUCGAACUGUCUAGUAGCUGG
rnacentral:rRNA from 2 species